AGUAGCCCAGCCUCAUCAACUGCCUCAGGCAUUUUCCUCGUUGCUGAGACAAAAUACCCAGUGCUCACAGCUUCAAGGAAGGUCUCAAAAUACUGGUAUUCCUGCCUGGAAAAUGUCUCCCAGAAGUAAAUGUCAAGAUAAGAAAGUAGUAACUGUAUUGUUACCAACUCAUCCACAUUACAUCGCAUCAUGAACACCAUGUUGGUUUCUUUUUAUUUGCUUGUUUGUUUUUUCAACAUUUGCUUGCUGUGCACACUUCCCCUUGUUAACUAAACACAUAUGCUGCAUUGGAGCGGCUGUUCCCGCAGGGGCUGCCUGUUUCUGGUUGGCUUUGGGUGAGAAUCACCAGCCUAUAUUGCCUAAGAUCUGCCCUUUCCCUGGUCUGCUCGCAGUGGGCAGAGACCCUGGCAUUGGGGGAGUUCUAGUAGUCUCAUCAUGGAGUAAAAAUGAUGUAAUGAAAUAA